GAUGAAGAACGCAGCGAAAUGCGAUAAGUAAUGCGAAUUGCAGAAUUUCCGUGAGUCAUCGAAUCUUUGAACGCACAUUGCGCCCGCCAGCAUCCUGGCGGGCAUGCCUGUCCGAGCGUCAUCUCAACCCGUCAAGCGCCGCUUGUGCUGGGGCCCUGCGGCCGCCGCAGGCCCCGAAAUGGAGUGGCGGGACCGCCGCCGCGCCGAGCGUAGUAGCGAUAGCCUCGCUCCGGAGCGGCGGCGGCCACCGGCCGUAAAAGCCCCCACCCGUAACCAGGUUGACCUCGGAUCAGGUAGGAAUACCCGCUGAACUUAAGCAUAUCAAUAAGCGGAGGA
rnacentral:misc_RNA from 1 species